ACUCUGGUGGUACAAUGGUUAAGUGCUCAGCUGCUAACUGAAAGGUUGUUGGUUCAAACCCACCCCACAGUU
rnacentral:tRNA from 1 species